AUAGAAAUCACCGCAAAUAAAUUUGCACACACUACAGACCAACAUCACACCACAACACAUACAGUCACAACUGAUCACAAUUAACACAUGCUUGGUCAAAACUAAUUACAGUUAACAUAGACUUAGUUAAAAGAGGGCGGUCACCUCAAAUAAAUUUGCACUUUGCAGAUCAAAAUCAAAAUCCAUCACCACUACAACCCAAAUUAGUAUGCUAGUCUAGCUCUAAUACAGUAUCCCAAUUGUGUACAUCCAACUAUAAUUCAGCAAAAGCACAUAAAACCCAAGAUGAUGCAUCUUUGUGUCAAUUUAUGAAUCCUGACCCUGUUAACUCUGCCACUUGUGAAAACCCCAUCUACACCAUCAAUACCAAAAUCUUAGCCACUAAGUAAGGCCAAAACCAACUCUACCCCCACCACGAGUUUUUUCUCCAUCACCAAUUCACCUCGACCAUCACUGAAUACCUAUCUCAGCCACCAGUAUUUACCCCACCCCAACACCUAAAUUUCCACCUCCUCCAUCCCAAUACAGUAACCACCCCCACCUAUCAACUUUCCCCAAUUACCUACACCUAAAGUCGAAAAAUAAGUAUAGAACCCCUUUUAGCAAGGGCCAAGACUGGCUCGAACUAGGCUGAUUAAUUAAACCACCAGAGCCUCAACCGAGCAGGAAACAGAAAGUAGCUUUGUCAAAUCGCUCAUGACUCAGACUUGCUUUACAAGAGACAGUUAUAGAAUUAGUAACGUCCUCUGAAAUCAUCAGUAAAGGCUCUUUUCGACAAUCGGAAACCUAUCGAUCAAGAACGUGAACUUAGCUUGAGUCGAUUCG
rnacentral:lncRNA from 1 species